rnacentral:tRNA from 1 species
CAGGAAAUAGUUUAUUUAAAAUUUUAAUUUUGGAGAUUAGAGAAAAGGGCUUCCUUUUUCCUGA